rnacentral:rRNA from 1 species
UACGGAGGGAGCUAGCGUUGUUCGGAAUUACUGGGCGUAAAGCGCACGUAGGCGGCUUUUUAAGUCAGGGGUGAAAUCCCGGGGCUCAACCCCGGAACUGCCCUUGAAACUGGAGAGCUAGAAUCUUGGAGAGGCGAGUGGAAUUCCGAGUGUAGAGGUGAAAUUCGUAGAUAUUCGGAAGAACACCAGUGGCGAAGGCGGCUCACUGGCUCGAUACUGACGCUGGAGGUGACGAAAGCGUGGGGAGCAAACAGG